GUUACUCACCUCGACUCUUAGCUUGUCGAGGACGGUGACCGCGGCCCGGCGUCUGCUCCUGCUGCUUCCGCCCGCUGACCCGAAGCCACCAUGCGUGAGUGCAUCUCCAUCCACGUUGGCCAGGCCAGUGUCCAGAUUGGCAAUGCCUGCUGGGAGCUCUACUGCCUGGAGCACAGCAUCCAGCCCGAUGGCCAGAUGCCCAGUAACAAGACCAUUGGGGGCAGAGACGACUCCUUCAACACCUGCUUCAGCGAAAUUGGUGCUGGCAAAUAUGUGCCUAGGGCAGUGUUUGUAGACCUGGAACCCAUAGUCAUUGAUGAAGUGCGCACUGGUACCUACCGCCAGCUCUUCCACCCUCAGCAGCUCAUCACAGGCAAGGAAGAUGCUGCCAACAACUAUGCCCGUAGGCACUACACCAUUGGCAAGGAGAUCAUUGACCUCAUCUUGGACCAAAUUCGGAAAUUGGCUGACCAGUGCACAGGUCUGCAGGGCUUCCUGGUUUUCCACAGCUUUGGCAGGGGCAUUGGCUCUGGCUUCACCUUCCUGCUGAUGGAACGUCUCUCCAUUGACUACGGCAAGAAGUCCAAGCUUGAAUUCUCCAUUUACCCAGUCCUCCAGGUCUCCACAGAUGUAGUAGAGCCCUACAACUCCAUCCUCACCACCCACACCACCCUGGAGCACUCUGAUUGUGCCUUCAUGAUAGACAAUGAGGCCAUCUAUGACAUCUGUCGUAGAAACCUCGAUAUUGAGCGCCCCACCUACACUAACCUGAACCGCCUUAUUAGCCAGAUUGUGUCUUCCAUCACUGCUUCCCUCAGAUUUGAUGGAGCCCUGAAUGUGGAUCUGACAGAA